CCCAUGCAAGACAAGGAACUUAUCUCCUUCAUCCUAGCUGACCUCGACCUUGACUAAGACCCUCUGGUAUCUGCCCUUGAUGCACGCACUGAGCCCAUCACUCUUGAUGCUUUAUACUCGCAGAUGGCAAACUUUGAUC
rfam:Hordeum vulgare subsp. vulgare, WGS project CAJW01000000 data, contig: morex_contig_1605174